GCUGUAGCUCAGCUGUGGAGCAUCUGCUUUGUAUGCCGAAGGUCCCAAGUUCAGUUCUUGGCAUCUCCA